rnacentral:rRNA from 1 species
AACGAACGCUGGCGGCAUGCCUAACACAUGCAAGUCGAACGAGAUCUUCGGGUCUAGUGGCGCACGGGUGCGUAACGCGUGGGAAUCUGCCCUUUGGUUCGGAAUAACAGUUGGAAACGACUGCUAACACCGGAUGAUGACGAAAGUCCAAAGAUUUAUCGCCAGAGGAUGAGCCCGCGUAGGAUUAGCUAGUUGGUGUGGUAAAGGCGCACCAAGGCGACGAUCCUUAGCUGGUCUGAGAGGAUGAUCAGCCACACGGGGACUGAGACACGGCCCAGACUCCUACGGGAGGCAGCAGUGGGGAAUAUUGGACAAUGGGCGAAAGCCUGAUCCAGCAAUGCCACGUGAGUGAUGAAGGCCUUAGGGUUGUAAAGCUCUUUUACCCGGGAUGAUAAUGACAGUACCGGGAGAAUAAGCUCCGGCUAACUCCGUGCCAGCAGCCGCGGUAA